AUUGAACGCUGGCGGCAUGCCUUACACAUGCAAGUCGAACGGUAACAGGUCUUCGGAUGCUGACGAGUGGCGAACGGGUGAGUAAUACAUCGGAACGUGCCUAGUAGUGGGGGAUAACUACUCGAAAGAGUGGCUAAUACCGCAUGAGAUCUACGGAUGAAAGAUGGGGAUCGCACGACCUUGUGCGACUAGAGCGGCCGAUGGCAGAUUAGGAAGUUAGUGGGAUAAAAGCUUACCAGGCCGACGAUCUGUAGCUGGUCUGGACGGUCGAUCAGCCACACUGGGACUGGGACACGGCCCAGACUCCUACGGGAGGCAGCAGUGGGGAAUUUUGGACAAUGGGCGAAAGCCUGAUCCAGCAAUGCCGCGUGCAGGAUGAAGGCCUUCGGGUUGUAAACUGCUUUUGUACGGAACGAAAAGCCCCGGGUUAAUACCCUGGGGUCAUGACGGUACCGUAAGAAUGAGCACCGGCUAACUACGUGCCAGCCGCCGCCGUAA
rnacentral:rRNA from 1 species